rnacentral:rRNA from 1 species
AGUGAACGCUGGCGGUAGGCCUAACACAUGCAAGUCGAACGGCAGCACAGUAAGAGCUUGCUCUUACGGGUGGCGAGUGGCGGACGGGUGAGGAAUACAUCGGAAUCUACUUUUUCGUGGGGGAUAACGUAGGGAAACUUACGCUAAUACCUCAUACGACCUACGGGUGAAAGCAGGGGAUCUUCGUACCUUGCGCGAUUGAAUGAGCCGGUGUCGGAUUAGCUAGUUGGCGGGGUAAAGGCCCACCAAGGCGACGACCCGUAGCUGGUCUGAGUGGAUGGUCAGCCAACGGGAAAGGGACACAGGGCCAAGACCCACAGGGGGGGACGGGGUGGGAAAUUUGGGAAAAGGGGAGAAACCCUGCUCGAGCCAUCCCGGGUGGGUGAAGAGGGCUUGGGGGUUGAAAAUCCCUUUUUUUGGGAAAAAAAAGCAGAGGGUUAAAACCCCGCUGUUUGACGGUAACCAAAAAAAAAGGCACGGCUAACUUCGGG